rnacentral:lncRNA from 1 species
UCUUGUCUGAAUAUGGCUAAAGGAGUGACUUGGCUUUUCUAGGCUCCAGUUCUUUAAAUACUAAAUAAGAGCAACAGAGUGGACAACUAGAUAUCCAACCAGGUAACUUGGUGACUUGGAAGUUCUUGUGUCUAUGCUUCAUGGAUGGGAAUAGCCCUAAGCAGCAAGAAGGCCUGUGGGAUGAGUGGAGUGAUCAAACACUAAGGCAGGGACAAGGGAUCUUCAUGAAAGAGGGGACUCCUGCAUGUCUCAGUGUUCAAAGCUAGCAUCAUGGCAGAGGAACAUCGGCUUCUUCAUGGUGCUUCCAGCAGGUUGGCAAGAUAAUCGCUGGGUUACUUCCAUGUACAGAGAGAGAGGGAACACAAGCUCACUUCCAGGCUUUCUGUCAUGUGUGCCAAUGUUCCAUCAACUAAAGUCAAUGGCACGGCCAAGCUUGGAUAUGAUAGGGAGAGAAGUUAGAGAUCUUGUGAUGAAACUGAAGGGAGGAGGGGUUACAUGUGCACGUGUGCACAACAUUGCUUUCUGUUAUCACUCUUCAUCCUGCUCCAACCCUUGCAGGACGAGAGAAAUUAC